rnacentral:rRNA from 1 species
CCGAACCGACUAAUGUUGAAAAAUUAGCGGAUGACCUGUGGCUGGGGGUGAAAGGCCAAUCAAACCGGGAGAUAGCUGGUUCUCCCCGAAAGCUAUUUAGGUAGCGCCUCGUGAAUUCAUCUCCGGGGGUAGAGCACUGUUUCGGCUAGGGGGCCAUCCCGGCUUACCAACCCGAUGCAAACUGCGAAUACCGGAGAAUGUUAUCACGGGAGACACACGGCGGGUGCUAACGUCCGUCGUGAAGAGGGAAACAACCCAGACCGCCAGCUAAGGUCCCAAAGUCAUGGUUAAGUGGGAAACGAUGUGGGAAGGCCCAGACAGCCAGGAUGUUGGCUUAGAAGCAGCCAUCAUUUAAAGAAAGCGUAAUAGCUCACUGGUCGAGUCGGCCUGCGCGGAAGAUGUAACGGGGCUAAACCAUGCACCGAAGCUGCGGCAGCGACACUGUGUGUUGUUGGGUAGGGGAGCGUUCUGUAAGCCUGUGAAGGUGUGUCGUGAGGCAUGCUGGAGGUAUCAGAAGUGCGAAUGCUGACAUAAGU